GGUAAUGGUACUGGUGGAUAGGUGAAGGGUUGGUAAUGGGACUGGUGGAUAGGGGAAGGGUUGGUAAUGGGACUGGUGGAUAGGGGAAGGGUUGGUAAUGGGACUGGUGGAUAGGGGAAGGGUUGGUAAUGGGACUGGUGGAUAGGGGAAGGGGUGGUAAUGGGACUGGUGGAUAGGGGAAGGGUUGGUAAUGGGACUGGUGGAUAGGGGAAGGGUUGGUAAUGGGACUGGUGGAUAGGGGAAGGGUUGGUAAUGGGACUGGUGGAUAGGGGAAGGGUUGGUAAUGGGACUGGUGGAUAGGGGAAGGGUUGGUAAUGGGACUGGUGGAUAGGGGAAGGGUUGGUAAUGGGACUGGUGGAUAGGGGAAGGAUUGGUAAUGGGACUGGUGGAUAAGGGACGGGUUGGUAAUGGGAGGGAGGGAGGGAGGUUGGUAGAUAGAUAGAUAGGUAAGUAGGUUAAUAGGUUUGUUUGUUUGUUUGUUGGUAGGUAGGAAGAUGAACAGGUAGGUAUAUAGGUAGGGAAGACAGGUUUGUAUGUGUGUUUGUGUAAGUAGACAGGUAGGUUGGUAGGUAGUUAGGUUUAUAUAUGUAGAGUGUAUGUUUAUGUAUGUAGGUAGACAGGUUUGUAUGUAGAUGUGUAAGUCAAUUUGUAUGUAUGUAGUAACUGUCUUUUACUGUCUAUCUUUGUCCUAAUUACUUCUGAAUCAGCACUUUGCCUUCGUUAUUUAUGUAGCUGUAUGUAAGUCGGUAGGCAUAUGUAGGUGAAAUCAUGCAGUAAGUUGUUAAUCAUCCAGUAAGUCGUUAUUUAUGUAUAGCUGUAUAUAAAUCGGUAGGUAUAUGUAGGUAAAAUCAUGCAGUAAGUCGUUAUUUUUGUAGCUGUAUGUAGGUCGGUCGGUAUAUGUAUGUAGGUAAAAUCAUGCAGUAAGUCGUUAAUCAUGCAGUAAGUCGUUAUUUUUGUAGCUGUAUGUAGGUCGGUAGGUAUAUGUAGGUAGGUAAAAUCAUGCAGUAAGUCGGCACAGUUACCCUCCCACCUUGAACAAAUCGAAGUUGACCGUUGGGGGCGAGCCGAUGUCCGCCACGAUCGCCCGCAUCUCGGCGUUGGAGGUGUUGAUCCCCAGGG